UUGACAGAUUUUGUAUGGAUGAAAACACAAGUUUUUGCGUGAAAACCUCUUUUGUCUAUGAAAACACGAAUUUUGUGUCGGUGCGAACACAGUAUUAGCAGUGUCAAGCUGUCAUGUUAUUUUUAUUCAGUAUUGUUUGGCAUUUCAUCAUGGAAAGACUGACGUCUGAACAACGUUUACAAAUUGUUUAACUUUAUUACAAAAAUUCACGUUCUGUAAACAAUGUGUUUCAUGUAUCAUAAAAACGUGUAUAGGAACUAUAUAUUGUAAUAUGCUAUUGCAAUAGCAUAUUGAAAUUAGAUGCCACAUUUGCGUAUAUGCAUAUAUAAGUAGAUACAUAUAUUUCAUAUUAAUAUCAUAUUACCACUCAAUAAAGUCUGCGUUCACCCGACACAUUUUUUAAGUGAAGUAAAAACACAAUGUAAAUAGGACUAUACAAUGCUUGGAAGCGACAGUUAUAGUAAAAUCGAUGAAAAUAUGAGGUCCGAAAACUGAUGUGCAGCAUUUACGAAAAAAGUUCGGGCUCAUUGGAGCUUCCAAUCUCAUCUCACUUUUCAAGGCAAGCAUUAACUUAACAAGUUGUACUAACCUGUAGGAUGUGUACGGUGAAAGUGGAGCCAAAAACGCUUUAAAUGUAACACCUUUGACUUGACCCUCCACAUAUUGUCUGGCGCCCUGUGACCACAAAGAAGAACGAAGUUAUGCAGCUACAUAAAUACAUACAUAUAUUAUAUUGUUUAUAUAAUGUGAAGGGAAUUUUAUACAAUUCCUGUUUUUCAACCCUAUUAAAGAACACACAUUCAUAAGUCUACAAUCGGCAACAGAUUCACACUCAAAGGUAAAGGAUUCAAAACAUUUUUUACGUAUUCGCAGAGCAUAUUUAUGAACACUACUUCAAAAAAUUUACUUGUAUGUGGAAACAGACUAACCAAAAAGAAUAAUUUGAAAUUUAUCGAGAAUUGUAAUUGCAAAGAAUAAUAUAAAUCGGGUGUCGUUGAAAGCUGUAUUAUUCUCGUUUUGUUAUAAAUAUAUGGAGCCUAGGGGAAGUUUUGAACCGAAUUUAUCAAUUUUAGGCUUCACUACACAUUAUUACCAGGAGAAAAUUCUCUCUAAAACAUAAAAAUUUAUUUCACAGAUUGGCCCAUAUUUUUCGGUAAAAAGUCGACAACUGCGGUACCUAAAGGCUUGAAAAACUAUGACCUACAAUAAUAUCGAGACUUUGGUAUAUGUUACUCAUAUAUUCAUUUACCAUAUAUCCUACUAAAAAUUUUCAGUUAACCAAAACUAUCUAUGUCACACGCAUAGGCAGCGAAUCAGUAAGCCAAUUCUUGCUUUUAUCGUUCCCGUGAUUUUCCAGAAUAAGUUUUGUGUUCAAUUCAGCGCACAUGGUGUUAAUUUUCAUGCACUACUCGUGGUAGAGCUGAAAAAAUAUCGAUAUUCGGACCACUCGAUAGUAUCGAUAGUUUUUCCCUUGAAAUCUGCUUACUUUUCGCUGGUUUCAAUGGACAGACCUUGGAUUUGUACUUUUAAUUUUUAUGAAAUAAUCUUUGGAUUUAUUUAUAAAACAAAACAUAAACAAUGACGGAAAAUAUAAAACAUUAAUAAAGCUACUUAUACAAUUUUUCAUGUUACUAUUUAUAUAAACUGCUCUAAGUGUUGACUAGUGAUAAAAACGUACAUUUUUUUUUACUAAUGUAAUAUGAGAUCAAGGAAUUUAUAUAUAAAAUACGUUUCGGUACUGGCGGCUUCGCUCGCAUUAAAUCGCUUCAAUAAAUAUCAAAGAUCAUUGCGUUGAAAAAAAGUUGUAUAUGACAAUUGCAACAUAUAACGAAAUUUUAAAAACUGAAAGCAUGCCUUAUUGAAAAAAUUUACUACAACAAAAGUAAAAAUAUAUUUCAGCAUAGUAUAAUUCUAAAAUGUUUUUGUAUACUUUGUUGUAAGUUUUUACGUCCGGUGCAAAAAUGGCUCAAUUACGCGCAUUUGACACUCGGGAACAGGCUAGGAUUAUAUCUAGUUGACCGUGAGAGAAGCACAGCUUUUCUAUAUACACCCUUACUACCUGUCAUGUCUGCUUUUAUGCUUUGUUUAUAGUAACAGCAAAGCUGAACUUGAAGGUAAACUGAAUAGAUUUUUAGUUUUUUCUUUAUCUUAAACUUUAACACUAAAUAAUUUUGGUUUUAAAUAUUUUUAAUAAAAACUAUCCUAUGUCCUUUCUAUUUCCAUUAUGUAUAUGUGUACAAUCUUCUUUUCGAUUAACUAAUGGUUUUGGCGUGAAAGCGUAACAAACUAACUUCAUAAUAUUAGUAUAGAUAUGGAUUAGUAUGGAUAUCUACCUCGAUUAGUUUAAGGUGUUACAAACAAGUGUCUAAGAGCCAGUGGAUGGCUGUAUGUAAUUUUCCAAAGGUGAUCUUUUGCUUAAAUAUUUUCCUAUACCUCCUCACAUGAGAUCGGGAGCAACUAAGCCCAGAGAAGGUGGCUAUGAAAAUGAAGUGGAAAAGAUGUCAACUUCAAUCCAUUAAGCCACCUUUCAUCAGUUGAAGUGUAUGAUUUAAGGAGCUUUACGUCAUGGGCGCAUAAUAAAAUUUUUGAGAAUUCUAUUACUGAAGAGAUAUCGUUAAUAAACAACAAGAACAGAAUCGAGCCAAGAUAUCUACCUUGCGAAACACCUAAAGAGACAUUAAUUGUAUCUGAAAAAGUAUCCCUAAAUAUCACUCGUUGUAUUCUAUUAUAGAGAUAAGUAGGUAUUCAUUGAAGAAAUCUUCUCUUUUGCUUUGUAGGACACAAAACUAAUUUCUUUAUCAAAAGCAAACAUUGGUCCACAUGAGCGAAGUUUUGUUUCCAACAACUCUGGAAGUAUUUCUGCUUUAUUUUUGCGGAGCAUUCCAACAAUUUUCACUUCUCAUGGAUUGGCCAGUUAUUUUGAUGCCAUUAGAAUACUGGUGAACUAAUUAUCCAAUGUAAAGUUCUGAUGGCUUCCAUUUAUAGAUUUUGUUAGAGUUUCAGCAAAAUUGUUUGCUAAUGGAGCACCGUGGGUUUUAGUGCACUUAACUAGAUACGGACUUGAUUUUGAAACAUAUUUGACAGCUACAGAGCAUUACAAUUUUUAUGCCAUAUUUGUUCGGCUUAUUUGGCAUAUACAAUACAUUUGAAAUGGGCAUCUACCGCGAAACCCAACAAGUUGUUCGUCGAUUGUCACAUUCGAGCCAGGCUUGUUACUCCAGAGAACUUAAAACAAAAAUGAAUUAACAUAAAAUAAUUUAAAAAAUAAUAAAUAAUAGUUCAAUAAAAGGGAAUAUAUUUCAAAUGGCAUAUCAAUAUGCCCAGUUUUGCUCACAUAUUAUAUUCUCUUCAAUAUUCGUCGGUUGGUUAUGUUAAUAGAGCGUAUGUGUACAGAUUCACCGCUGUUAUAAAAGCGAAAAAUGUUAUUUGUUUCUCGUGCAUCUGUGGUGAACUCCUUGAUAAAUUCCUACAAAUUGUUCGCUGUCGAACCUGCACCUUCUCAUUGUUUUAAGUUUUCUGGUUACUCUUUGUAUAGUUAUCAAUUAAAAUAUACCAGAUCGUAGAAUUAGGAGCAAAAAUGUUUACCUUACUGGACUCAUCUCUUGUCAUGGAGUCAUCAAAUCUUGAAGCUCUUAAUAAAAAAUGGAACUUUUUCUGGCUCAUCGUUACUUUGUACCUGUGGCCUGAGUAAGUAUUGUCAAACAGAAUAUCAAAUCAGAGACGGACUGCUUAAUUCCGUUUUGAUCUAAAGGUUUAAACUAAUUCUUCUUCAAAUGUUGACUCGCCCAAUUGGUGGGAACAUAGUUAUGAUCACUGAAACUGUCAUCUAUCGAAGUCCUUUUCCUCUACGACGCCGUCAUCAGUAUCAAUGUUGUUUAAUAGUAAUUCUACAUUUCACAAUUUCACUCUAGAAUAAAAAAAAUGGCUUGUGCAAGACUACGUAAAACUUGCGUACAAGUUUUUACACGUUUUUAGUAAAACCAAGUCAAAUUUACGUACACUUUUUUAUACAGGUAUUUUUUUAUAUAGGUUGUGAAAAUCAAUGGAUAUACAAAACUAACACAAAAAAUCACCAAGAAUUAAAAACGGGCGCGAUUUAACACAAACUAAGAGAAAAAAUCAACAUGUAGCACGGGAAUUAAAUCCCCCAAAAGCGCGGGGAGGAGGACAGUAACGCACAGGAAACACGCCGAAGGAAAAAAUUAGAACAAAGGAAAACGAGAAGAAGCAUAACGAAUCACGCUUACACAGUUAUUAACAAAUACGGCAUCGCACCCUCUAUUCCAAUUGGAUCUUCUACAGAGCAAAUAAAAAUAUUCACUAGGUUACGUUUACGACACACAGCAAUCACACAUCAACAUCUCCUAAGUGGCUUUGCUGCUCCAUCUUGCCAAGCAUGCAAUUGUCCUCUGACAAUCAGCCACAUCCUUGAUGCAUGCAGAAAGUACUCAAACGCGAGGAACAGCAUAUUCCAUAACAGAACACCAUCAAAUCUGCUAACAGAAUUUUCUUUAGAUAAUUUAAAAGAUUUGUAUAAGUUUAUAUAUCAAACUGGAUUACUGUACAGACAACUUGUAAUUUAAGGACUUUCCUUUUAGAUCUUUAUCCUUUUUUUACCUAGUUAAUUACCGAAUAUAUAUUAUCGUCAGGCCGAUAGCCUUCGUUGCUAUUACCUUUAAACUUUAAUAUAAUUAUUUAUAAUUAUCUUUAUGUUAAAUAAUAAAUAAAAUAGAAAUUAAUUAGUAUGAGAACAAAUGCAAUGUAAUUUGGAUAAAAGUUGUUGAAUAAAUAUAUGGGUCAGCUUGAGUAUACCGUCCCAGGCUUUAGAGUAUAAAAUGGGUAUGGGCGGAUAGAGGAGAUUCUCCAGACCAAGAAUAUAGGUAUAUAGAUAUAGCCGCGGGAAACUUAUAGUUUUCGAGAUAUUUACGUUUAAAGUUGAAAAUUUCAACUAUUUAAAGUACGUAUUUUUUCGAUUUUAAAUGAAUUAUGCACUUAUAUUUUUCACUUUUAUAUCCACUAACACUUCACUAAUUCGUUAUACACAUUUAUUUUACAUUAUAUAGUGCAAAAGUAGUUUAAUUCAAU